rnacentral:rRNA from 1 species
UGCGUAGGCGGUUUUCUAAGUCACGUGUGAAAUCUUCUGGCUCAACCAGAAAACUGCGCGUGAAACUAGUUAACUUGAGUGAGGUAGGGGUGUGUGGAACUUCCGGUGGAGCGGUGAAAUGUGUAGAGAUCGGAAGGAACGCCAGCAGCGAAAGCGGCACACUGGGCCUUUUCUGACGCUGAGGCACGAAAGCUAGGGGAUGAACG